rnacentral:rRNA from 1 species
GACGAACGCUGGCGGCGUGCCUAAUACAUGCAAGUCGAACGCACUCUCGUUUAGAUUGCCGGAGUUUGCUCCUGAUUGAUAAACAGUUGAGUGAGUGGCGGACGGGUGAGUAACACGUGUGUAACCUGCCCUAAAGUGGGGGAUAACAUUUGGAAACAGAUUCUAAUACCGCGUAAAACCUAACACCUCAUGUUGUAGGGUUUAAAGAUGGUUUCUGCUAUCACUUUGGGAUGGACCCGCGGUGCCUUAGUUAGUUGGUGAGGUAAAGGCUCACCAAGACAGUGAUGCAUAGCCGACCUGCGAGGGUGAUCGGCCACACGGGGACUGAGAGACGGACCAGCGUCCUAGGGGAGGACGCGGUAGGGAAGCUUCGAAAAUGGAAGAAAGUGUGAUGGAGUAACGCAGCGUGAGUGAAGAAGGUUUUGGGACCGUAAAACUCUGUUGUUGGAGAAGAAAGUAUCUGAUCGUAACUGAUCAGGUAGUGACGGUAUUCAAUAAGAAAGCCCCGGCUAACUACGUG